GCCCCAAAAGCUGUGCCCCUCCGCGUUUAUAAACCCAGGGUCGUUACAAUAUUAUAGUGUCAAAAUGUAUUACAAAGUGCAAAUAGGAUAAUUAUGGUCAUAAAGUCAGUCUCGUCCAAAACAUAGUUUUGUAAUUGAAUUCGUCACGAUUUACUGGAUGGUUGGGUAUGGAUUAUGAUCAUGCCCACUUUUGCCAAUUAUGCCAAAUUGCAGAGAAAACACGUUGUAGUCCGCAUCCAGCUGCCAUGUGGACAUGUGUUGUCAAGGCUGCAUAUGGGUGGAACGCACAUUUCGCUCUGCAAUUAUGAGUGAAAAUGGGCUUCCAUAAAGUUGGUGCAAACUUCCAAUACAUUUCAACAAUAUUGCCAGGAGUGGAUUACAUUCGACACGGUCACUUCUGCUGCCUGUCAACCGUCAAACCACUGCACUGGUGUUGGCUACGUACAAGAUCUGGUUGAUUUGUAGUUCAGCAAUGUUGUUGGAACCCCCCCCUGCCAUAUCAGGAGCUGUUACAGAAGGCUGAGGCAGUGGCCAUACACCAGUCCUGCUUGAGUGUAAUGGAGGACACUUGAAUCAGGAGCUGGGUCGGAUAUAGGAGCCGUAGUCGGGCUUCUGCAUGACCAGUAUCUGUGACGAGAGGGACCUGGAGCUGAUCUACGCUGCCAUGCCAAUCAAAAGCAAACGCCUCAAAAGGGACAAACAAACAGUGAUUACUAAUAAGACAGUACAUCAUAUCACCCUUUCAAUGUGUCACUCAUCAACUCUUCCUUGGUUUUCUACAGAUGGGAAGAAGAGUUGCUUUUCAGAUGGAGUCCUCUGACUGAAAGACAGGUUAAUACUGAUGUCAGAAUUGGGAGAGACCUUGCAACUCAGCAUAAAAUCUUACAAGACA